GAACUAAUCCUCACGCUCUGUAUUCCAGCAGGCUAGCUCCAGCUGCACGCAUGACCCCGCCUCCCAUCCUCUUAAUCUCUUUGUCUCACUUUAUUCACAGCAACACACCUUGUGAAGACGAGCAGCCAAGGAUCAGAGCAGCACUUCACAGACCCUCCUCCUCCUCCUCUUCCUCCUCUUCCUCCUCAUUCUUGUUCUCGCACCAGUACUUGGUGUCAGAUGGAGCAGAUAACUUAGUCAUUGGUGUGUUUGUGGAUGGGUCUUCAGCGGUACCAAACCGUGGCAAGCAUCGUCCGUCUGGCUCCCCUCGCCGACGCUUGCGAUUUGUAGAAGUCACACAGUACACUGAUUGCCAAUAAUGAUGAGCUGGCGAAGAGAGGCAGAGGGAGAGAUGAGGUGGUGAUUGCUGCUACUCUUCGAGAGUCGAUAAUGGAGAAUAUAUGUCAUGUGCCAUUAUGUGUCUUACUGUGUGCCCGUAACCCAUAUGCUAAUUAAUGCUGAUUUAUGCCUCAUUAUGUUGAUUUAUAACGGGGCUACAGGAGUGCUGUUGACUGACUGUAGCCGAAAAAGAGUGCUGUCCAUUAAAGGACAUAAUGUUAGUGGUAUUUAUUCUCCCUCUCUGUUUUUCAGGAUGAAGCUUUGUUCUCCUUACAGAGUUUUAUUUUUUUUCUUUGCAGGCUUAUGAUGAUAAAUCUUUAUCAUAAAAGUUUAAAACUGAAUCACUCAAGUACCGUGCCGGUGGUUUUGCACAUUUUGGCCCAUUAACUGCAAAUCAUGUAUACUUAACAUUACUGCUGGCCAUUUUCUAAACCAUAACUUUGAUUUCUACUCUCCAGUCAGCCAUUGGUCUCCCUUUCCUGCUAUGUAAAUUAUAGACUUGGAACUUGCCUACGAAAGGUGAUCCAUCAUGUAGCGAACAUGUAGUGACCCGCACUUCUUUUAAUGGUCAUACUCUGAUUAUUUGUGCGCGGUAAUUUAUUUGAGAGCAUGAGCCAUUUGAAAACUCUUGUCGGAAAUCAAACCCCGGCAAAUGAGGGAGUGAAAUAUGAAAAUGUUGAAAUGUAAAUCUGGUAGCACUGCUGUCAGCUACCUCCACUGGGGCUGGAAACUCUGGGAAUGUUCAAAUUCUGCAAGUACCGGCUUUAAACCAUUGACUGUAUAAACUACAGACAGAGCAUCCGGGUCUGAAAAGUGAAGCCAAUGUGGAAGUUCUUUAAACCUGCGUUCUUUCUAAUUGCCAACAGUGGGCGACUUCAUUGGUUUCAAAAAGAAGUCCAAUUAUAUGUAUGCUUAGGAGAAAAUAACUCUACUUCUAACUCUAUUUCUUA
rnacentral:lncRNA from 1 species